GCUAAAUAUCUGAUUUUCAUAUACAUAGCUAGAAUCCAAAAUACAAAGCUACUUGCACUGGCGAGUUAAACAACUAUGUACAUAAACUCCAAAACAAAACUACCUGCAGUAGGGGAAAGCCUCUAGCUCUGACUGUCGGGUAGGGCUCUAGCUCGCAACGCCCUUGCCUCGAUCCUGAUCGGCAGAAGAUGCAGCAGCCGGCACCUGUGGCUCUGCAAAACAUAAGUAACAACUGGGCGUGAGAACUACUGUAAAAACAAGUAGUCCUCAGUGGGUACCGCCCAAAACGACAUCGGUCACCCACUAAGUCUACAGAAGGGAGCAAGGAUAGAAGGAAAAGCAGGAAGUACACUCUACCGCUAUCAUCCACUACACUAUCAUGCUCUACACUAACCAACUGUAGGAAAUGUCAAAUCUGACCCAAUCCAAAUCGGGACUGUAAGCAUACCCGUCCCCGGGACUGUGAAUACACCCGUCCCUGCCCCGUUGCGACUAUCGGGCUCUAUCCACUCUAACUGGUCCGUGGAGAGCAAGUCCAACUGGCAUGAGCGACACCAACGCAAAAGCACAAGCCUGACUCCGGAGUGGCACUCGUGGGCGCUACCCAACCGAGUAUGCAGCGUAUCUCUGUCGAGCUCAAACAGGCUCUGGAAAGCCAAAGUCAAGAAACCGACUCUAAACUGGUCUAACAACCAACAGGUAACGUGCCCUCGGCACAAUCUGACGCCAAAAAGGCGAUACGGGUCCACCGUCAACUCUGACGGCACCCAACAGUCCGAAAUAACCUGAACGACCCGGUAAAAAUCCACUCGGCGAACCAGCACGAGUGUAAAUAUAUUCUAAACUACCUGGAGUACUCGUCUCGACAAUACUGCGACAGUACAAUUUUCUAACGGCUCCUAGAGCUAAAUCAGGCAGUUUAUACAGGUGACAGGUCCAAAUCGCAGGUUUUCUCCUAAUUCAAUUUCCAAGUCCAACAUGUAUAAUCUACUUAAUUUAAAACAACAUGCUCCAAAAUUCAGAUUUCACAAUCUACAUAUAGUCCAUGAAUUUGAGCUAAAAUUAAUUACCGAAAUCAAGAUCUAUACAUGUCGACCAAUAAGAACUUAGGAGUAAAGCCGAUGUAACCCACCUCAAAAGCUAAAUCCAGGCAGCGAACGAAGCCUCGAACCAGGACAACCUCUGCUGGAUCAACUGGGGACCUCCAAGUCCGGUGGACGAGCUAACGCCAAGCUAAACAAUUAAGGAUCCUCGAUUCAGUCCAGAAAUUCACAGCAGCUGAGUAGGAACGGGAUUCGACCGAGCUAACCUUCACCAAAUCUGGCAAGUGAGGGCUUCGUGGAUUCCUCUCGAAGUCCCGAAUCCAACGAACCAAGCCUCGUCGCGAUCCGACGUUCCUACGCGGAGAACGAGCUGAAAUACGAACAGUCGACGGCGGAUUUCAGCAAAACAGCUACUAACCGAGUAGAAAUAAUAAUACUUGCCCAAAAUCCAGGAAAGACGCCGAAUCACCCACCUCGACAGCGUCGAACCUCGGCGCGACGUCAAGAACAGUGAAGACGCUCCCUCGCCCGGCCUCCUCGUAAAGCUCCGGCAGCAAGCGCGCUCGAACGGCUCGCGGCGCGACGUCGGCGACGGAAUCCCCCAACCGGACUCUCCACCAACACCUAGAGAGAGAGAGGAGAAGAAGAAGAUGGAGAAGAGCAGGAAGUACUCUCUCUCACUCUCUCUCUCUCUGCUCGGACACUUAAAAGGAGAGGGGAGGUGAGGGAGAUACAAACGAGGUGAGAUUUUACCGUUUUAGCCCUUUACCUACUCCCUUGUACCGGUACACGGGCUCCUGUACCGGUACAAGAGCCAACCCGAGAGCAGCUAAAUCUGUGCGCGUAGCUUGUACCGGUACAGAAAACCCUUGUACCGGUACAGCAAGCAUUCCCCGCGCUGGUUGUACCGGUACAGCAUACUCUUGUACCGGUACAGCAAGCAGGAAAAUCUGCUGUUUCGCAGAUUCCUUCGCUGAAUGCUGCCCUCGCGUCGC
rnacentral:lncRNA from 1 species